AGAGAGAGAGAGAGAGAGAGAGAGAGAGAGAGAGAGCGAGCGCGAGAGCGCAACGGUGGCCCAGAUUUAUAGACGGCUGUGUUUAGUGGGAACCGUUUCUUUUCCCUCGGCGGCGUCAGCAACUCUCGGGACCGCGCACAACCACACAACACAGAUCCAAUUCCCUUCCCAUCCCAACCUCCUCCCUCCCUCCCUCCCUCCCCCUCUCUCUCCUCCUUCUCUCUCCGCAGUGGGGGAAACCACUAGAUUCACCAGGUCUUGUUGUUGUUCUUCUUCUCCAAUUUUGGUUAUUGUUGGAGAAGUUGCCUGAACUCACUGAGUUUCGGUGGGGGAAGAAUUGAGCUCAGCUGCGGAUAAGUUGGAAGCAGUUUUGUUUUCGUUAUUUUCUCGGCGUUUCUUGGCUACCAAACAGAGGUUGAGGCGUCUGGUUUCAUUCAAUGCAACAACAUCGAGAGUCUUUGUAUGGUUGGAAAUUGUAUUUGCAUUGUCAUUUUUGGGUGAGGUGCAUUGUAUGUUGAAGAUUUUUUAUUUGUUAAAUAUGAUCGGGUAGCAGAGUGGAAAGAGGUAUUGGUCAGUUAUUAUCCUAAUUAGAUAUUUGAAUAGCAUUGCUACGCCGAGUCCUCAGAAAAAUAAAACCAAUUUCUUCACAGGGUAUCAAACAGACAGAGUUACUGAUACUUAUCCGUGGAUUUUCUUAUCAUCUUCAUAUGGCUGAUGCUACACAACUGGAUAUUCCUCCAGAACGUGAUAGCAGUCAUGCAACAAAAUGCCAAGAAGAAGGUACAUCAGAACAGAUACAUGAAAUUGGUUCUGAAAGUCAUUGUAGUGAACCAGCAAAACAAAGCAUUGGCUGCGCCAUUGUUCGUAAUGAGCUACGGGAAAUCUGCAAUGCCGGUGGACAGUCAGAGUCAUUAUCUGAAAAUGUGACUGAGAAUUCUCAUCUUGAACAAUUGGGACAGCCUUCUGAAGAUGUGAGCAAGAGUAGUCAAAGAGGAGCUGAAAAUGUUUUUGCAACACAGGGAUCUCAUUCCAGUUCGGGAUACAAACAAGAUGAAUCAUUACAAACCAUAACUGCAGUGUCUCCCUGUACCAUGAAGGACCAACUGCGAUCAUUUUCUGAAAAUGUGAGCAAGAAUUCUCUUAUUGAUCAAAUGGAAAUGCCUUGUGAAGAUCUGGGUGUGAACAACCCGACCAAUAAAACUUCGUGCUCUGAACAAAUGCCGUUGGAACAGGAAAGUUAUUGUGCUUUUGGAACUUCAUCUGGUGAACUAGCUGAAGAAAAGCAUCCUUCUUCCUCAGAUCGUGUACAAAAUGAUCAAGUACCCAUUUGUGGUAGCAAUGAACAUUUGCAGUCAUCUAGUGAAAAUGUGAACAUGACUUCUCUUAACGAACAAGCAGGAUUGCCUCCUGAAGAUCUGUCAAAGACUUGUCAGACUGGCAAAGUUUCAUGCUCUAACCAGAUUACAUUACAGGUGACCAAUGAAUUUGUGUGUGGAAGUGUACAUAGCGAAUCAGAAACACAAAAAGAUCAGCUUGACUCUGUACCUGCUCAUAAUAAUGAAGUUACAAGUACCCAAGCAGCACCCAGCUCUAUUUUUUUUGAACAAUCGAGGUCUUGUAUUGAAGCUGUGACCCAGGAUCCUCCUACUGGACAUUUGGAACUACCCAUUGAAGACGCAGGCAAGAGUCCUCCUAAUGAUAAAGAAAUGGAACCACUUCCAGAAGAUGUGACCCAAAAUUUUAGUCUUGAAAAGACAGAAAUGCCAUCUAAGAAUGGACCCAAGGAUAAGCAAAAUCCAAAAUCAAGAAAGAAGAAAUAUAUGUCAAAAUCUUCCCUUGGCAGUGACAGAGUUCUGCGCUCAAAGAUAGGGGAGAAGCCUAGAGAUCCUAAAUUAAGUAAUAAUGCAACUCUUGAAUCAAGUAAUAGCGUUGCAAAUGUAAGUAAUGUUGAACAUAAAAGAAGGAAGAAGAGAAAGCAGAGCCAACAGAAUAGAGUCAUUGAUGAUGAAUUUUCAAGAGUCAGGAAACAUCUGAGAUAUUUGCUGAACCGGAUAAGCUAUGAGAAAUCUCUGAUUGAUGCUUACUCUGGUGAAGGUUGGAAAGGAUCCAGCCUAGAAAAACUGAAGCCAGAGAAGGAGCUUCAAAGAGCGACUUUUGAGAUACUUCGACGCAAGUUGAAGAUAAGAGAUCUAUUUCAACAUCUUGAUUUGCUAUGUUCUGAAGGAAUGUUUCCAGAAUCUUUAUUUGAUUCCGAAGGACAGAUUGACAGUGAGGAUAUAUUCUGUGCAAAAUGCGGAUCCAAAGACGUUUCUCUUCAGAAUGAUAUUAUACUCUGUGAUGGUGCUUGUGACCGUGGGUUCCACCAGUUCUGUUUAGAACCACCACUCUUAAGUGAAGACAUUCCACCUGACGACGAGGGUUGGCUAUGCCCUGGAUGUGACUGCAAAGUUGAUUGCUUUGAUUUGCUUAAUGACUCUCAAGGAACAAAUCUUUCUGUCACUGACAGCUGGGAGAAGGUAUUUCCCGAAGCGGCUGCCGCAGCAUCAGGACAUAAUCAGGAUCACUCCCAUGGACUUCCAUCAGAUGAUUCUGAUGAUAAUGAUUAUGACCCUGAUGGUCCAGAAACAAAUGAUGAAGUUCCGGGAGAAGAAUCAAGCUCUGAUGAAUCUGAAUAUGCAUCUGCAUCUGAUGGACUUGAUACUCCAAAAAAUAAUGACGAGCAGUACUUAGGACUUCCUUCUGAUGAUUCAGAAGAUGAUGACUAUAAUCCUGAUGCUCCUGAAGUCAUUGAGGAUGAUAAGAAGGAAAGUUCAAGUUCUGAUUUUACAUCUGACUCUGAGGAUCUAGGAGCUGCUCUUGACGACAAUAAUAUGUCUGCUGAAGAUGUUGAAGGUCCCAAGUCAACGUCAUUGGACGAAAGUGGGCCUCUUAGAGGCUCCAGCAAACAAAGUUCUAGACGUGGGCAAAAGAAACAACCUUUAAAAGAUGAGGUAUUAUCUUUAUUAGAGUUGGGUCCUGGCCAAGGUGGUGCAGCUCCUGUUUCUGGGAAAAGGCACAUAGAAAGGUUGGACUACAAAAAGCUGCAUGAUGAGACAUAUGGAAAUGUUCCUACUGAUUCAAGUGAUGAUGAAGAGUGGAAUGAUACUGCUGCACCGAGGAAAAGGAAGAAAGGUACUGGACAAGCUCCUAUGGUGUCACCAAAUGGAGACUCGUCAAACAUUAACAAUGGAGUGAUCACAAACGAUAUAAAACAUGAUCUAGAUGAGAAUGAGAAUACUCCUAAAAGGGCUCCUCGCGGAAAUAAAAAUACUCCUAAGAGAGCUCGUCGAAAGUCAAAGGUUGAAGAUACAAGUAAUUUGUCAAACAAAUCACGUAAUGGCUCUACUCAGUCCGCUUCUACUAGUGAGAAAGGUGGAUCGUCAAGAUCAACAUAUCGAAAACUUGGGGAAGCUGUAACUCAGCGACUAUCCAAAUCGUUCAAGGAAAACCACUAUCCAGACCGAUCUAUGAAGGAAAGUCUGGCCCAAGAACUAGGAAUAAUGGCUAAGCAGGUAAGCAAAUGGUUUGAAAACGCUCGCCACUGUUUGAAAGUGAGUGUGGAUAAGAGUGCUGCAGGAAAUGGCACGCCCUUGCCUCAAACAAACGGAAAACAACUUGAACAAGAUGGUACAACUUUUGGAGCUCAAAACAAGGAGUUACCCAGGACAGAUGAUCCUAUGACAGGUUCCUCCAGCAGGGAUAUGAAAGAUAGUGAAUUGGUGACUCCGAAAAGCAGUAAACGAAAGGCUAUUUCUCCAAACAAUAGAAAGAGGGAGCGUAAAUCAGAUGAUCUUGAUCCAGAAAACGAGACACCAGAAACUAAAAGAAAAGAGAGAUCUCUUGUGCGGCGAGAAAAUCUGGCAAAAUCCUGAAGGAUAAUCCAAGAAGUUGGCCAAUUUUUCAUGUACCUUGGUGAUGAGCUUGGGUUGUUUCCUGUUUCGGGACUCUUAUUUCAAUGAAAAAUGACGAGGUGCUUAAGUUUGGAUCGGUUGAGUUUAAGCCUGGCUUGUUUGUGCAAAGAGCUCAAGUUUAUGCUUUGCUUGGCUUGGCUCGACUCGUGUUACGGAGUUUAGUACAAACUCGCCCUUACUCCUUUGUUUAGCAUUUAGUAAUGUGAUGAAGUCAAUUACUUGAUUAAACUUGAUCCUUGAUGGCAUUGAUCUAAAAAUCCCCGCCUUGCGCAGCCUAGGCACUAGCUGGCGGGCCAUCGUCCCAAUUAAUCCCUAGAUGUUUGAAAAUUAAGAAAGUGUGUUUAAACCUGCUUAGGCGUCCGUCUAGCCCAUCUAAAUUCACUUAGAUUGUGACUCUCAUUGAAACAG